AAUUUAUUCUUCUAUGGUCAAACAACAUCAGUGGAGCCAAUAACAACAGUCCACACAGUACUUAAUCGCCGGUGUACUUUUACUGACCACCGGCCGCCUAACUUUCCGGUUCCCGAUAAUGAUGAUGACAGUGAAACUUAACGGUCAUCCAGCAAUUCUGCCGCCGCAAUCCUCUUUUUACCGCAGGGGUAAAAACCCGCUUCACGGUUUCACAAAAAACGAUUCUUGCAUUUCUCUAGGUGGUGGAUCAAAGCUACUGAGACUGAGAUGUGUAUCAGAGAAGUUUGAAUAUGGUCAUGAUUCUGAUGAUUCUCUAGAUCAUGCAUUCAAAUCUACACAGAAGCUUAAGCAAGAGGAGUCUUCUUUUUUAGACAUUUUGAAGGGAGCAAAUCGUAUUCUGCCUCAUGUAGUCAUUGCCAGUACAGUACUAGCCCUUGUUUAUCCACCUUCCUUCACAUGGUUUACCAGCAGGUACUAUGCCCCAGCAUUAGGGUUCUUGAUGUUUGCAGUUGGAGUUAAUUCAAGCGCAAAAGAUUUUCUCGAAGCAUUUAACAGGCCAUCUGCUAUAGCUGCAGGUUAUGCUGGCCAGUUUGUUCUGAAACCAUUCCUUGGGUAUUUGUUUGGUGCACUGUCAAUGACUUUGUUUGAUCUCCCAACUUCUUUAGGUGCUGGAAUCUUAUUGACUUCUUGCGUAAGCGGCGCACAGCUAUCAAAUUAUGCUACUUUUCUAACUGAUCCACAAAUGGCUCCCCUUAGCAUUGUAAUGACAUCCUUAUCUACUGCAACUGCGGCUUUUGUCACCCCAAUCUUAUCACUAUUGCUUAUUGGGAAGAGGUUACCUGUUGAUGUGAAAGGGAUGGUAGCUAAUAUAUUGCAGAUUGUUGUUGCACCUGUUAUGGCUGGGUUGCUCUUAAAUAGGUUCUUUCCCCAAGUGUGUGGUGCUAUCCGGCCUUUACUUCCUCCACUCUCUGUAUUUGUGACUGCUCUCUGUGUUGGAGCUCCACUUGCCAUCAACAUCAACUCUGUUUUAUCUCCCUUUGGCAUGUCAAUUGUGUUGCUUGUAACUGCAUUUCACUUGUCAGCAUUUGUUUCUGGUUAUGUUCUAUCUGGCAUUGCCUUCAGCAAAAUGCCUGAUGUGAAAGCGCUACAAAGGACGAUUUCCUAUGAGACAGGCAUGCAGAGCAGUCUUCUUGCCCUUGCACUUGCAAAUAAAUUUUUUGAAGAUCCGCUUGUGGGGGUGCCUCCUGCUAUAUCUGAGGAUGUGCAAGGUCAACUUUUUUUGUCUAUGCAUCGUGCAAGUUCAUUGGGCUUGCAGCGAAGAAGAUCGAGAUGAGAUUGUGCAAAAAAUUUAAACUUUGCCAACUUCGAAAUUUUAAAUAUAUAACGGGUUGUUAUCAUGUCAUUGAUGGGAUUCUCCCUUGUCAUGUUAUGGGCAAAGAAGAAAGAACAAAAGUUAAAUUACUCUGAUCGUUUAUAGAUAGUAUGCUCUUCUCGAUGGGGCUUUCUGGAGACUCUUGGCAAACAUUCGGGAGUCUCUACACUUGUGCUAUUGUACUCUAUCCAUUAACUAUAAAAUGCAUCAGAUACUUAGAUGAAGGUCCUCGAUAUUUAAUACAAUAGUUGAGGCAAAAAUGCAAAACUAAUGAUAGUAAAACUUAUACCUGUUGUAAACAUUUAGCUGUUACCAGUUACUUCCAUGUUAAGCAGAUGUUUGACAAAACCUAAAAUAACAUGGUUAUGUAACAGUUCAGAAAGGUCUUGGGGUCAAGCCUGCACUUUUAUGACCUAUAACUUUCGAGUUUGUCUAAUUUAUCCAUUUGCAUCUAGA